AUACUACCGGAUUCAAAUGAUGAUCUUCGCAAACUGGUUGACCCGAGACUUGGGGAUAAUUACCCAAUCGAAUCAGUCAGCAAGAUGUUUCAGCUAGCCAAACUUUGCACGCAUAAAAAACCUGAAUCAAGGCCGAGCAUGAGAUCUGUUGUCGUUGCGUUAAUGGCAUUAUCAUGCCCCAAAAAGGGUUCUAAGAUUUUUGUUCCUCAUUUAGAAACUGAGAUCUUGAAAUACGAGUAUUCUAUGAUCAAGUCUAUGGAAACUGAAGUUCUGGGAUCUGAGACUUUUACAGUUACAUCUGUGGAAUCUGAGGCUUAUACAAUAGAAGAAGGAAUUGAGGAUUAAAUGGUA